GCCCCAUCUCAGAGGAUCGGAGGCAAGGGCGGUGCUCAGAGGUCUGACGGCGGCCAGAAACUCAGGGGUGUUUCCAGAGCCGCGGCUGCCUGCGCUUUGGGGGUCGCUCACCUUCAGGAUCUCAAGUUAUGGUGUUAAAGAGCCGGAUCCCUGGCGUUUGUGCCUAGCUAGUGCUUUCCUUCUCUGUGCCUCGGUUUGCCCAUUUGUAGGGUGGCAGUGAGGACGAACUACCUGAGCACGAACGUAGAGCCUGAACUAGGCUGCGAGCCUAAGAAAAAGGAGUUACGAGAUUUUCCUGAUGACAACGGGCCAUCCUGAUUGGAGGGAGUUAGGCUUGUGACCCAAAUAGUAACAGUUAGCAUUCGGCCUUAGGUCCUUAGCACUGGGCCAAGUGCUUUUCUUGCUUCAGCGCAUUUUGUCGUCCUAACAAGGGGGCAGCUAAAACUACCAAAAACAUGCCGGUCAAGUCUGCCCUGAGAUGACCAAACAGCUCUGUGGCAGUGAGAAGGUGAGUGCGAAUCCUACGAGCACAGGCCAAGACACAGAAAUGGUGAAGUGUAUGCUGAAAGGAAAUUCAACUUGUAGAUAAACCUUUUCCAUUGCCUGUAACUGGAUGCUCAGCAAAUGUCUGCUCUCUUCCUUUUGAUUUUUCUACAGGACACCGCUUUUGUUCCUUCUGGAAGGUGUGGCAGGCAACAAGGCACCAGUUUUGAAGCAGAGAGCAAGUCCUCACAGACUCAGAAUCUGCUGGUCCAUGAUUUGGACUUCCCAGCCUCCAGAGAAGUGAGCAGUCAAUCUUGUUGUCAUCUGGAAAAUGAGAAUUCCUGGGUUAGGCUACAUGAACAAGGAAGAGCCAGUGAAGCCUGCACUGAGAAGAGCCUGUCAUUCUCCAUAAGCUGUGGCACCUGCCUGAUGUGCCAGUGUGGUUAACAUGGCCAAGAGACAGGAGGAGCCAAGAAUGGCUUUGCCUACUGUUCUAUCCUUUCUGUGCUUAGCAUUCACUGCAGUGGAGGUGUUGAUGGUGGUUCAGGUGAAGGAGUCAGGUAGCUGAGGGGCAGACCCAGGCUUCUGCUCUCUAGCUCUUUAGCUUUUAGGGCAGACCUUGUGGGCCUUUGGCCAGCCUCACAGAAGCAGUGAGCAUUCAAUGGCAAGGAAUAGGUCACUUCCCAGGAAUUGGCUAUUCUUAUUCCAAGUCAUUGGAGAAUCAUAGGCAAACAAUUUUUAAAGUCUGAGAGAUGAGGACCUGGCGUGGUCUCAGUCCUCAGAUCUCAUGGAGGUGGGAGAACAGGGAAGCAAUCCUAGUGACCUGAAGUUGGAUAUGGUCAGUGCAGAGAUAGACAGGAGCUUGCUGUCAUAGCACCUCAGUAAUGUUAUUUUGAGCUGGUUCUUACAGUGGGAAGGAUUCAGGAGAAUGACCUUAGAGAUGAAGAAGUCCUAGGACAAGAUCCUAGAUGUGGACAUGGUUAAGGAGAUGUGAAAGUAUGGGGUGCUUGGAGAAGGGAGGCCCAUCUAAGAUGAUUUGUAAGAGAUAAGUCCCCUUCAUGGGGGUGGGUAUCACCCCUGAGAACAGACUGGGAAGUCACUGGAGGUGGAACAGGCAUGUGGCUACCCUACUUGUUAGGAAUCACAGAAAACUUUGGAUUUGGUAUGGAAAGUGGCCAUAGAAAUAAGUAGUAACUGGAAAGGUUCACUGUGACACACAAGUUGGGAGCCAGCCUGCUGCUGCUAGUACUGGCCAAGCUCACUCGGGAGUCCUGAGCAUGCAAGCUCUACCAGGUGGCUCUGCCAGUGUCUUGGAGACUUUGAGCUCUGCCUGCCACAGAAAAGGGAACAGUGUGACAGGUGGGGGCUGGGGGCAGGGCUUUGGACUUUUUGUUUGUGUAAGAUGGAGGGAAGAGGCAAUAAGAGGAAGUAUCCUAAGUCCUCAUGUUUGGGGUGACCAUGACUCGAGGCUCAUGUUUGUCUGUCACACAAAGGAAAGAGAGAGCUCAGUCAUUCAUGCCAUUGGGGAACAGGGAUGUGGUUUCCAGCGCCUUGGAUGAACUUUGGUGCAUUGACCUUCCUUAGCAGUCUGCAGUGUUGGUGACCCACUCUCAGGUGUGACAGCCUCAUCUUAAAAUGAUGAUAAGCCACUUGUCAUAUAGACACAGGACUACAGAGAUAGUGAAGGGAGGGAGCCUCAGAGUGCUCUAAAAAGAAAGGACCUAUAUUGUGCCCAUGUAAGGAGGUAGCCUUUUGUUUUUCUUACAGCGCUGGGGAUCAGACCCAGGGCCUUGCACAUGUUAGGCAAGGUCUUUGCCACUGACCUGCACCCCCAGCCCAGGAGACAUCCUUUGGUCAAGCAAACCUAACCACAGAUUGGGAAAGUUCUGUGAAUAUUACUGGUCGAUAAUAUUGCUCUGAUUCCUAACGAUCCUGUGUCCUGAAGGAACAAACAAGAUCAUUGAAAUGUUUAAACCUUUUGCUUCAAAAUAAUUUCAGAUCUAGAAAUAAUUUCCAUCAAAAUAAUGCAGAGAUCACAUAUGCCCUUCAAUCAGAUCCAGCAAUUAAUGUUUUCUCACAUUGGCUUUUUUAUUCUCCCUCCCUCCCUCACUCUACAUAUGCAUUCUUUUAUUUAUAUAUUACACAAUACAGGUUGAAUGUCGUUCAUCCAAAAUGUUUGGGAUUUUGGACAUUUCAGAUUUGGGAUUUCCCCCUGCAUAGACUUUACUGGUUGAGCAUUCUUAAUCAGAAAUUCUGGCACCUGAAAUACUCCAAAAUCUCAAAGAAAAUUGGGUGCUGGGGAUCAGACCCAGGCAGGGCCUCAUGCAUUGUUAAGCAUGUGCUCCAUCCCUAGUCCCUGACACUUUUCUUUUGUAUUUUUCAUUAGCAAAUAUAAGUUGUACAAAGGGGUCUCGUUAUGAUACGGCCAUACAUGCAUACAAUGUACUUUAGUCAAAUUCACCCCCUCUGUUACUUUUACUUAUCACUCUUCUCCCCCUUAGAAAGCAAUUUUAACUGGUUUUAUCAUUCUGUUUUCAUACAUGGCCAUAAAGUACUUGAACCAUAUUCACCUACCCCGCUUCACCCUCUCCUUUUGCCCUUCCCCCUCCUGCUGGCACCCAUCCCCAAACAGA